rnacentral:lncRNA from 1 species
CGUGUUUUGAGAUAAUCUAUGUAGCAACUGAUUAACCUCAUCACGUCGAAUUGACAGAAAAGAGUCCAGCCGACUUGUGGAAAAUAUUUCAAGAGCAGAGAGACGACGGAGGUUCCUCCAGUGAUCACCAUAGGAGGCACCAGCCAUGGUGGACCAGUUGUAGCCAAUGGUCUCCCCCAAGGUGAGGCGGGGACGAUCGGCUAAAACAACAUCGUUUUUGGUGAAACAUUCCUCAACUGCAGCUGGUGAAGACACGACAACAACUAGGAAAGAACCGAAACGAAGAGAAAAGACAGGGCCGAUGGUUUUGGAGAGGCUGUCCAAGGUUCUGUGAAGUGGUUCCUUAAUGAGGUGAAGGUGGCCUAUUAUCGGGAGUUUUGGAAAGGGACUAGGAGGUAGAUGCUUUGAUUUUUUGAAUAAUUUGGAAACAAAGAAUAUGAGCAGGAAUGAGAGGGAGACAUAAAAUAACAUAUAUGGAUCCAUGGUUUGAGUCUGGUGUUUGAAACUGUAUUGCUACUUAGAAAUCAUAUACUAUACGCUCCACCUACUUGUAUAAGAUAAGACUUUCUUGGUCAUGGAUAUCAGGGAGAGGGCUUGUUCCGUGUACCUCUAUAUUGAAAAUUCUUUUAAAAACUUAGGUAUGUACGUAUUUAGGAGCAUCAACCCCAAUUGAUCAUAAGGUAAAAGGCAGUAAAAUCGGAAUUGUGGCUCCUGUUCAAUCAAUCAUGCUAUGAAUAUAUAGUCUGGUCCCUCCUUUUCUCUUACAAGUAAUUUUUGUUUCUCUGGGAACUAAUAGAUCAGGUUCAGAUUUUCAGAUAAACUCCCGUUCUAAAACUUCAAUAAUACUAAUUACUAGUUUACACAUUACACCAAAGUGACCAAACUUUUGAGAAAUCAUAUAAAUCAACUAUUUUCUGAAAGACAACAAGAAUAUUGUUGGGGCCGAGAGAAUGGUAUUGUUAGGGACCUCCUACCCUUAAACACACGUGCCUCCACGGAGUUACAAACCCUCAAGACACAGCCUCUUGUUACCAAGAAGAUGACAGAACAGGGGAAACUGUUUUACAGUUUGCAUGAUAUGAUAUAAGUGAGCAAUAACUACCUUGUUAAUGUAACUCAGAAGUCUGAAACAGUUUCUGAUGAGAGUUGAUGUAUUUUCAAUACUCCCUUGUUUAUUUACCUCGCGUUUAUUUUAACAUCUUCUGUUCAUAAACAUGACCCUCCCCCCAGUAGUCCCGGCGGCUCUAUCUAGUUGAUACUAAUUUAGCUCUCCAGGACUCAGCAUCUCAGUUAGACCAGUCUACUAUUGUGUAGUGUUGGUUUCUAGAGUUUAAAAAUAACAAUAUCUGUACUUCUCAUUAAUUGGAUAAUAUGGGAAUUAGUAUACGUACCGUGAUGAGACCUUUAAUAAUGAUAUCACUGUAAUAACUAGGCUGUGAUUUCUGAAGAGAAAGCAAAUGAUCAACCAUGGAGUUUCUACUCUCACCAUUUCUAUGCUCUUCAAUUAUCCCUUGCAAAAGCUUAUCCAUUUUCUUAAACAAAUAUAAGGCACGCGUUUGAAAAUUCCUGUAAUCAAUCCAUCUCAAGAUUGGCAGGAAAUCACCAGGAUAUGAAGCUCCGGCCAUAGACAAAACCUCCUCAAUAAUAUCUCGCACGUGCUUAGCCUCCUCCUCAUCAUCCACAUCUUGCCCGUAGUAUCGUUUCCCUGCAAUCAUCCUCAUUAUGACGUUAAAUGAUAGAUCAUUCAAGUGGGUUUUCAGCACAACUUUUCCAAACUCGUAUCGCGUUUUUUGAGACACUCUGUGUAGCAGCUGAUUCACCUCAUCACGCCGAAUUGACAGAAACGAGUCCAGCCGACUUGUGGAAAAUAUUUCAAGAGCAGAGAGACGACGGAGGUUCCUCCAGUGAUCACCAUAGGAGGCACCUGCCAUGGUGGACCAGUUGUAGCCGAGGUACUUCCCUAUGGUAAGGCGGGGACGACCUGCUAAAACAACAUCGUUUUUGGUGAAGCA